CUAACCUCCUCCCCUGGCUGUUCCUGAGGCUGACCUUUUCUGUGCCUACCGAGUCAUUCUGGAGUUCAAGAAGGGCCAGGAGUCCACCUUGUCCCCUGGGAGUCUGAGAGAGAUAAAGAUUUUUCCAAGCCACAAGCCACCCCCUUCUGAUCAUGUGCAAGCAGGAGGCCACCAACAGAAGGCCACAUCAUAAUAUCACUGCGAUGGAAGGAAAACAAGAAGUAGCAGCCAUGUCCAUCUAGUGGUGGUUCUCUCUCUGCCACCCCAACAAAACCUUCUGCUUUCAGAAGCGUAUUCUUAGCCAGAUCCCUUUAUUUUUCUUCACAGCUUUCAGUUCAGCUUGAAGUAGCCUCUUGUGAAGCUUCCAGUAUAUGUGCGAUUCAUGAGCCAGUCCCUCAACACGAACAGUCUUGCCAAGGCCUUGUCUCAGGAUCUCUUCAU